rnacentral:rRNA from 1 species
AGACGUCUACAUUAGAUACCCGCGUAGUCCCAGCCGUAAACUAUGCGCGUUAGGUGUAUCGGUGACCACGAGUCACCGAGGUGCCGAAGGGAAACCGUGAAACGUGCCGCCUGGGAAGUACGGUCGCAAGGCUGAAACUUAAAGGAAUUGGCGGGGAGCACCACAACAGGUGGAGCCUGCGGUUUAAUUGGACUCAACGCCGGGAAGCUCACCGGAUAGGACAGCAGAAUGAUUGCCGGGCUGAAGACUCUGCAUGACUAGCUG